UACAGAGGUGGCAAGCGUUGUUCGGAAUUACUGGGCGUAAAGCGCGUGCAGGCGGUUGGCUAAGUUGGGUGUGAAAGCUCCUGGCUCAACUGGGAGAGGUCGCUCAAGACUGGUCGACUGGAGAGCAGUAGAGGAAGGUGGAAUUCCGGGUGUAGUGGUGGAAUGCGUAGAUAUCGGGAGGAACACCAGUGGCGAAGGCGGCACCCUGGCCCACACCUGACGCUGAGGCACGAAAGCGUGGGGAGCAAAC
rnacentral:rRNA from 1 species